GGUGGCGUGGUGCAAUGGGCAAUGGUUAGCACUGGAGACUCUGAAUCUCCCAAUCAGGGCUCGAUUUCCUGCGCGACCU
rnacentral:tRNA from 1 species